rnacentral:lncRNA from 1 species
AUGCAGGUUUCAGGAAUCCAGCUGGUCAAUGCAGGGUGGAGGGCACGAGGGGUGGGCGCCCGAGGAACCGUAGGAGACGUGGCACGGGGAGAGAGGGGAGGUCUGUUGGAAGACGCCCAGGGACUGGUCCGGCUCUCUCCUGGAAAGUGGGCACUUUGGGUAGCGGUGAUUCGGAGAGGUAUUGGGACCGUGUGCUUUGCAUUCCCUUCUCUGCACCUCCGUGGCAACCUCUGUCAUGAUGUGAAAAGAGCCAGCUUUCAAUCCCAACUGGACCACCAACCAGCUGUGAAAACCUGUGCACUUCAACUGCUAUGAACCUCAGUCUCAUUCUCUCUCCCUGCAUCAUGGAGUUGCUGUGAGGAAGAGUGAUAACGAACAUGGAGGACCAGCUUAGUAUCCAGCACAAAGUUCCUUGGUAAACAGGAGCCUCUGUAGCCUGGCCACCCUGUCUUAUGAUCACUGAUUCACAUGUCCUUCAUUCAACCUCCUGGAAGGCAGCAUCUGUGUCAUCUCUGCCUGUACCUCCAGCCCCUAGCCCAGGGCUUAAUGGCACAUAGGCACUCCAUUAACUCAUUACUCAGACAUUACUGAGGUGGAGAAAUAGAUACUGUGGUUACAGAGUGGCUCCGACAAGAUUUAGACUCUCAAGGAAGUUACAUUUGAGUAAGUGAGAUAAAAACACAGACAACCAAAGGCUGAGUUCUUAGAACUGAGUUGUAAUUUUUGGCUUUUCUUGACCUUUUAAUACGAUGGGCAAUGUUUCAGCUGGUGUCAAAAUAGUUGACCCAGGUGGGCAAAAAGUCAUUAAGUAUGAAAGCACUUCGAUUAAGGAAUAUUUUAUUUUCCAUGGGGUCUUUGAGAGCUUAGAGAAAAAUAGAAGCAAUGGUGAAAUAACAGCGAACAGACUCCUGCAAUUAAACGUGGUUUCACUUAAGUAUCACUUUCAGAUAGUGUCAAGUUAAAGCAUUUAAGAAGAUUGCUGAAAAAAGGAGGCUUCCUUCUUAAUCUAAGUGAGAUGCUGGCACGGGAGGCCUCCAAAGGGAAACUGCCAGAUGCUGUUUUAUGCACUCGGCGUGUUUGUGCCUAACAUCUCCUUAGCGGUUUUGAAUUCUACAUUGUCUGCAAAAUUGCCACUUCAUUAAAAUUGCCUCAGAAAUUCCCUUUUAAACGAUGCAGGUAGUCAAUUAGCAUCUGUCCUGCCUAGUUUGCAUUUGAGAAAUGCAGGAAUUAUUUUCAAGGAUACCUUUAUUUAAUCUUGAAUUUCCUGUGUUUUCAGGAAAAAUGCUGGUUAGUCAAGGACACCUGAGGGAUGACA